CCUACGGGAGGCAGCAGUGAGGAAUAUUGGUCAAUGGGCGCGAGCCUGAACCAGCCAAGUAGCGUGAAGGAUGACGGCCCUACGGGUUGUAAACUGCUUUUAUAAAGGAAAAAAGUGAGGCACGUGGGCAGUUUUGUAUGUACUUUAUGAAUAAGGAUGGGCUAACUCCGUGCCAGCAGCCGCGGUAAUACGGAGGCUCCGAGCGUUAUCCGGAUUUAUUGGGGUUAAAGGGAGCGUAGAUGGGUUGUUAAGUAAGUUGUGAAAGUUUGCGGCUCAACCGUAAAAUUGCAAUUGAUACUUGCAGUCUUUAGUCCAGUUGAGGUCGGCGGCAUUCGUGUUGUAGCGGU
rnacentral:rRNA from 1 species